rnacentral:misc_RNA from 1 species
AAUGCAUAUUGCGCUCUUUGGUAUUCCGAAGAGCAUGCUUGUUUGAGUAUCAGUAAACACCUCAACCUCUCUUUUUUAAUAAAAAAAAGGGAGGGUGGACUUGAGCUAUCCCAACGACCUUCACCAGUAGGCGGGCGGCUUGAAAUGCAGGUGCAGCUGGACUUUUAUCUGAGCUAAAAGCAUAUCUAUUUAGUCCUCAUCAAACAGGAUUAUUACUUUUGCUGCAGCUAACAUAAAGGAUAAUUGUCCUCUUUGCUGACUGAUGCAGGAUUUUACAACACUUUAUGUGUUGUUCAACUCGAUCUCAAAUCAAGUAAGACUACCCACUGAACUUAA